rnacentral:rRNA from 1 species
UACGAAGGGUGCAAGCGUUACUCGGAAUUACUGGGCGUAAAGCGUGCGUAGGUGGUUUGUUAAGUCUGUUGUGAAAGCCCCGGGCUCAACCUGGGAAUGGCAAUGGAUACUGGCAGGCUAGAGUCCGGAAGAGGAGAGUGGAAUUCCUGGUGUAGCGGUGAAAUGCGCAGAUAUCGAGGAAGAACACCCGUGGCUAAGGCGGCUCUCUAGUACGGUACUGACGCUGAGACGCGGAAGCGUGGGAGCGAACAGG